AUUGAACGCUGGCGGCAGGCCUAACACAUGCAAGUCGAGCGGAGCGGCGGACGGGCGAGUAAUGCCUAGGAAUCUGCCUGGCCGUGGGGGAUAACGUCCGGAAACGGGCGCUAAUACCGCAUAUUACCAGAUGAGCUUAGGCUGGAUUAGCUAGUUGGUGGGGUAAAGGCCUACCAAGGCGACGAUCCGUAACUGGUCUGAGUGGAUGAUCAGUCACAAUGGAACUGAGACACGGUCCAGACUCCUCCGGGAGGCAGCGUUGGGGAAUAUUGGACAAUGGGCGAAAGCCUGAUCCAGCCAUGCCGCGUGUAUGAAGAAGGUCUUCGGCUUGUAAAGCACUUUAAGUUGGGAGGCGUUACCAACAGAAUAAGCACCGGCUAACUUCGUGCCAGCAGCCGCGGUAAUAC
rnacentral:rRNA from 1 species